AUGGACGUGUUCAUCCACGAGGACUACGUGAACAAGCGCAACAUGGUGAGGAGGGAGCAGAGGAAGAAGACGCAGUUGCAGGUGCUGCAGCUGGGCAGUCCAGGCGCAUGCAGACCGCCGCCGGCGCACGGGGAGGACAGCCCGGGAGCGGGAGCGCCGAGGCAGUGCCUGACACCAACCGGCGUCUCACCCUCGUCCACCGUCGGGUCUCCCGCAUCAGGCUCGUCGGAGGGAGCCGUCUCAUCGGAUCACCGCCGUCACCUCUUCGAUUGCCUGAAGCCGUACUAG
rnacentral:rRNA from 1 species